UGUGUGAUUGUUUAUCGCCCAGCCCAUGCCCUGGCCGGAGCAGCUUCUGGGUCGGCACUUCACGUCCCGAACGCAGCGGCUACGUGAGCGCCGAGGGCGGGGAGGUGACACUUUGUCCGAGGCCCUGACCUCGGGCUCCCAGGCAACCCAGGAGAACAGUUGGAAUUUUUUCUCCAGUUCAAGUAUAUACACAGGCUGUAUGAAUGGCAUCUUCUGACAAGAACCUAUGAAUUAUACCAUUCCUUCCCCAGAUACAGGAUUACAGGGUGCACCACCCUGCCUGGCUCUCUGGCACCUUAAACAGCAAAUCUCCCCUAAUUGUUUUGGGCUGAAGUUGGCGUGCAAGAACCACUCAGAGCUAUUGUGGCAGUUCCGAGUAUAAGGGAUUGGCCUGGUGCUGCUUGUAUUCAGAUGCUAAAUUCUGUACCCCGAGGUCUGGUUGCUCCAAGAGGAGCAGACCCUCACAUAUACCAGCUUUUGUUGUAUAAACCCUGCCGCCCAAGUUAUCUGUGAUUGGCUAAUGAAGAUGCCUACAGUGUGUAACUGGACAUAAGAGAGAUGGAGACAGUGAACGCAGAUGGAGGAAUGCGUCGUGUGAAAGAAGAAGAAAGGAAAAUUCCUGAGGUGUUAGGAGGGGCUCAGGCUGAGAGAGAUGUUCGGCAUGUCCUGUACAUCCUGGUCAGGACACUUAGCAAAGGUGUGUUCCUGUGCUUCUGAAAAUCCAGUCAGAGUAAGAAGCAAGUGCUCUCUGCCCCAAGAAAUGAUAUUCCAGCUCCGGAUACGAGGGGCCAGCCAGGUCUCCUAUUGUGAAACAUAUUUCACAAUACCAAGUCUGCCAUAAACACAUACUGAUUUCAUUUGUCAAUUAGAAAUAGAAAGAAAUGGGUUGGAGGAGGACUCCUAAGAUGUGAGAGAAGGGGAUGGUCACUAGUGUCACCGGGUUUGGAGGAAUUCGUUUGGAAAUGAUGACGAGUCCCAGUCAGUACGUGCAGCCUGCAAAAAGGGAAAGCUUGUCUGAGACUCUGAGAUGGAUGGUGCGCUCUUAGCUGCUGGGUUACUCAUGACUUGGAGGCUAAUGGCUUCCUCUUUUCAGAUGCGCAACUUCCCUGGUGUCUUGCAGGGCUUCAUGUUUGGUUGUUUUGUUUUGUUUUUAAAGCAGAUCAUGAAAAUGUAUAACUUUUAAUCAUUCCAUAGAAAUAUUGAGUGGAGCUUCUUUGGCAAAUACUAGGAAAUGCUUAACUAAAUGCUUAGGCCUUGAACUGUUGUGGAUCCUUAAAAAGCAGCGGUGGCUGGAGAGAUGGCUCAAUAGGUAAGGCUGCAGAACAGAAUUCUAUCCCUGGAACUCACAUAAAAGCAGGGGAGAAUUUCUUUCAGAGUUGUUCUCUGAUUUCCACACACACAUAUCACGCAUACUUACUGUAUUAAUAGCUUUUUUUUUGGAGACAGUCUCAGUAUGAACCCAGGCUGUCCAUCUGCCUACCUCUGACUCCUAAGUGCUGGGAUUAAAGGCAUGUACUGC